UACGAAGGGGGCUAGCGUUGCUCGGAAUUACUGGGCGUAAAGGGCGCGUAGGCGGAUGACUAAGUUGGGGGUGAAAGCCCGGGGCUCAACCUCGGAACUGCCUUCGAUACUGGUCAUCUUGAGUACGGGAGAGGUGUGUGGAACUCCGAGUGUAGAGGUGAAAUUCGUAGAUAUUCGGAAGAACACCAGUGGCGAAGGCGACACACUGGCCCGUUACUGACGCUGAGGCGCGAAAGCGUGGGGAGCAAACAGG
rnacentral:rRNA from 1 species